GGGUUGUGAGGUUAAGCGACUAAGCGUACACGGUGGAUGCCCUGGCAGUCAGAGGCGAUGAAGGACGUGCUAAUCUGCGAUAAGCGUCGGUAAGGUGAUAUGAACCGUUAUAACCGGCGAUUUCCGAAUGGGGAAACCCAGUGUGUUUCGACACACUAUCAUUAACUGAAUCCAUAGGUUAAUGAGGCGAACCGGGGGAACUGAAACAUCUAAGUACCCCGAGGAAAAGAAAUCAACCGAGAUUCCCCCAGUAGCGGCGAGCGAACGGGGAGGAGCCCAGAGCCUGAAUCAGUGUGUGUGUUAGUGGAAGCGUCUGGAAAGGCGCGCGAUACAGGGUGACAGCCCCGUACACAAAAAUGCACAUGCUGUGAGCUCGAUGAGUAGGGCGGGACACGUGGUAUCCUGUCUGAAUAUGGGGGGACCAUCCUCCAAGGCUAAAUACUCCUGACUGACCGAUAGUGAACCAGUACCGUGAGGGAAAGGCGAAAAGAACCCCGGCGAGGGGAGUGAAAAAGAACCUGAAACCGU
rnacentral:rRNA from 1 species